rnacentral:tRNA from 1 species
GGAGACGUGGCCGAGUGGCUUAAGGCGGCGCCUUGCUAAGGCGUUGUACUCGAACAGGGUACCCAGGGUUCGAAUCCCUGCGUCUCCGCCA